rnacentral:rRNA from 1 species
CUUUCUUUGCUGGCGACCGGCGCACGGGUGAGUAACACGUAUCCAACCUGCCCUUUACUCGGGGAUAGCCUUUCGAAAGAAAGAUUAAUACCCGAUGGCAUAGUUCUUCCGCAUGGUAGAACUAUUAAAGAAUUUCGGUCAUCGAUGGGGAUGCGUUCCAUUAGGUUGUUGGCGGGGUAACGGCCCACCAAGACUACGAUGGAUAGGGGUUCUGAGAGGAAGGUCCCCCACAUUGGAACUGAGACACGGUCCAA